rnacentral:lncRNA from 1 species
AAUAGGAUACAAUUGGAUUUAUAAAGAUCAAAGAUGAUCAAAUCUAAUGGCAUCUAACUCGGGCCAAAUAGUAAUGACCAACGUCCUAAUUAGUCUAAUCAAGAUGAUUUUAUUCGAUCAUGGUUAAACUAGAAUGCAAGUGAGUCAAUAGAAAUCAAGAGGACCAAACUCCAAUAGUUCAAUAAAGGCCAAGGUGAGGCCAGCACUCUGCCCAAUGACCAA